rnacentral:tmRNA from 1 species
GGGGGUGACUUGUUUCGAUGGGAAACAGGCGGCCCAUACGCAGGCUGAGAUUCCAGGGUUCUCAUAAAUCAACCUGGGGCACUACAACUGCCAACAUAUUUGCCCCUCAAAGGGCUCUUGCUGUAGCAUAAACCUACGGCCAUCCGCCCGCUGACCUUGAUAGGCGGGGCCGGGUGUCAACAUCAAGAAGGGCUGCGGUCCGCGGUCCGGGAAAGCAGCUUCACCAACAGGACCGCAAGGAAGAGGGGUUUGGCCCCGUUCACACCCUCUUUCUCUUUCAACGGGGAUACGCCUGGAGAAGUAUCGGCAAGAAGUUUUUCAGACGGGGCUUCACCGCCCCCACCUCCACAU